rnacentral:lncRNA from 1 species
UUCUUAAUAAUAAAAUUGAGAAUGGAAAUGGGGAAUGUGUCAAAGAGACAACAACCCGACCAAAUAAAAAACAACAGCAGAGGGUCACCAACAGGUCUUCAAUGUAGCGAGAAAUUCCCGCACCCGGAGGAGUCCUUCAGCUGGCCCCUAAACAAAUAUAUACUAGUCCAGUAAUAAUGAACGCCAUACUAAUUUCCAAAUUGUACACAAGAAACUAAAAUUAAAAUAAUACAAGACUAACAAAGGCCAGAGGCUCCUGACUUGGGACAGGCGCAAAAA